rnacentral:rRNA from 1 species
CCUACGGGAGGCUGCAGUGGGGAAUAUUGCACAAUGGGGGGAACCCUGAUGCAGCAACGCCGCGUGGGUGAAGAAGUACUUCGGUAUGUAAAGCCCUGUCAGCAGGGAAGAAAAUGACGGUACCUGACCAAGAAGCCCCGGCUAACUACGUGCCAGCAGCCGCGGUAAUACGUAGGGGGCAAGCGUUAUCCGGAUUGACUGGGUGUAAAGGGAGCGUAGACGGCAAGGCAAGGCGGGAGUGAAAGCCCGUGGCUCAACCACGGGACUGCUUUGGAAACUGUGUUGCUGGAGUGCAGGAGGGGUAAGCGGAAUUCCUAGUGUAGCGGUGAAAUGCGUAGAUAUUAGGAGGAACACCGGUGGCGAAGGCGGCUUACUGGACUGUAACUGACGUUGAGGCUCGAAGGCGUGGGGAGCAAACAGGAUUAGAUACACUAGUAGUC